rnacentral:snRNA from 1 species
GAUGCAGGAAGCAUCAAAAUUGGGAUGAUACAGAAAAGAUUCACAUGGCCCCUGUGCAAGGAAGACAUGCAAAUUUGUGAAGCGCUCCACAUAUUG